AUCUUUGCGCUUGGGGCAAUGACACAGCUAAUGAGGUAUUAACUGAGGCGCGUCUAUUGCUGGUUGAAAACUAUUUCCAAACCGCCUCUUAGGCUUGGGGUCUCUUCAAGCCUUUGAGAAUUUCUGGAAGGGCUCUCUUUUUGGGUAAAGCC